UAAGAGAGAGCUUGCUCCUGCCUGUUUUACUUCCUAAAACGGUGAUAGCUCUUAAGUAUUUUUAUAACGGUAAGUUCCAGGACAAUACUUUAGGUUUUGCAUCUAUAUUUCUUUUCGUUUUUCUCCCUUCUGUCUUUUCUGGUUUGGAUUGAGCUGUGUCCUCAGUGCAGUCUUCCACUCCCCUUGGUAUGUCAAGGAACUUAACUGAGUCUGACUGCUUACACAGAUCCUCAAGGGAAAUGCACAACCCAAAUAAAAUUAAAUGUAGGGAUUAAGAUGAAUAGGGGAGGAUGAGAUUAACACAAUCAAUUAACACAAGUUCUUCUGUGUGGAAAAAGAUCUACCGCAUCCGUAGUAAAUUCUCAUUAAGUCACUCGUUUUAUCAUGGAUGACCAUACAUAUAACUCAUCACAGUCCCUUUUUGUACUCGAUGUCCACAAUCCAGACAGAAAUGAAAAUGGGUAUAGCCAAAGCUCAGGCAUUCCCUCUGGCAUGGCUACAGCCGAGUGCUCUGGCAGACGGGGCUGAUUUGCACUGUGACAGGGCCAGCAGCUCAGUUCAAGUACUCAUGUUUCCAGGCUUGAAGAGGUCUGUCUGGGCAAACUCAGCAUCCUGCUUAGGCAUGUUUAUGCAAACCUGCGAGGGGAAAAAAAAAUGGAGAGCAAGAAACAUGUAAUCUCCUGUUUUAAAUAUACAUUCAUUCCAGCACAGGAAGUCAGGUCAGCACACACCAAGUGUGGAGCACCCGCAGCCACAGCGCAGUCCUUGGUCCAGAUCUCCGUCUCCAGGAACUGAGUCUGGCUGGCAGGGACAGCUCAGGUUCUGUCCUCACCAAAUGCAAGAGCGUGGACUUCAACACAAGGAGUAGAAGACAUACAACUGGAAAUGGAAAAAAAAAGUGGAUUGAAUGCUACUUAAUCUCAUUUAAUCACAUUUCCUCUCCUCCUUGCUCAAAAGAAUAAGAUUUAGAAGAGAAAUAAGCUGUCAAAAAAAGAAAACUAUUAACUCAGAUGUCUGGACAAAAUGCUGGAGCCAAGGGGAACACCAUCAGCAGAAUUUCGAUUCAUUCUUAUCUUCUAAAGUACAGAUUUAAAAUCCUCUUGUGCACAGUGACACAGGUCAUUGCCAGGUGACAAUAAACUUCCUAAAUGGAGUCCAUGCCUUUUUUAAAGAUCUGCAAAUAAAUCCAAUAAAAUUCUCACACUCCAGAUAACACCUAAAGGUCCAAAUGUGUGUUAUGCAAAAGGCAGCAACUCCAAAAAUGCGUAGUUUUAACUGCCAAAGAUUUUAUCUCUUACGAUUAUAGUAGCAAUUUGAUGCAGCCCUGGACAGCAAAAAGAAAUAAGUUAAUCCACUUAGCCAGCAAAUCCUGUCCUCCAAAGAGUACAGAGGCUUAGGCUAGGGCAAAACUGAGCUUGAACAGUUCCUCUUCCAAUGCAGCAAAUUACAAUAGGAAUGUUACAUAAACAGAAGAGUUGAAGGAAGGAAGGAAAACAGGGUUCUGAUGCAAGAAAAUAAACCAGAAUGAGUAGGAUAAAAUACUUUUAUCUAAGCAAGUGAAAAACUUGUUGGUAAAUAGAGGAAACUGAUGCUAUGAAUAGAUAGUUCCACAGCUGAUUCCUUUUCUUCCCAAUUAUUUUCCUGAUUGUGUUCCAAUAAUUCAUAUUAAAUGGUGCUUAUUCAGUGCAGGAAAGCUGUAUAAAUACAAACAAAACAUAGCCAACUAUGAACAAUUGCAACAGUGAUUUAGGAAGAGAAAAGCAGAUGAAAGGCAGCUCAAAAGAAAUUCCUCCAAGGAAGGCAAUCAAUGGCAGGAUAAAACCUCACGCUCUGGAAAAGAGCAUGUCUGAGUGGCCUUGGAAGUGAUGUUCCCAUGCUGUGGCAUGGUCUGCGUGUGGCCUCACGAUGAUGUGACUCCCCAGAAGUCCUUUGUUGGACCCUAACACCUUCCAGCCUGGUCCAGCUACGAGCACCACAGUGUCUCAGAUCACAAAGAAUCAGCAAUGUGAAAGUCGAAGAUAAAAAGAUAAAUGCAAGCUUUUCUCUUCUGUCAUAAGCUCACUGAAAUAUAACAAAGUCCCAAGCAGAGAGGAGAUAAUCUUAGAUGUUGUUUCCAACCUGCUUACUUACUGUUGGAUGAAAAAUGCUGGCAAGUCUUCAUCUGGAGACUGCUGGGGGUGGUGAGGCUGCUGCACACCAAAUCCCAAGCCACUGUGAGGCUGAACAUGAUUUCCUCACACCUUCUUUUCUUGUUUGGGGUAAUUAUAAUUCCCAAAGAUGGUUAUACUCUGAUAAGCAAGGUGCAUCUUUGGUGUUGUGAACAAGCCAUGCUUGAACACAGACAUCAUGGCCUUUGCCUCUAAACAGGAAAGUCACAAAUGAAACUGAAAUGUUAGAACCUUUCAAUGAAAAGCCCAUAGUUCUGGCAAUAAAUAACUGUGUGCCAUCUUGCUGUACCAAUUAGCAACAUAGGUUUUUUUGUACCUCUCCUCAGAUCUGAAAGAUAAGAGAUACAAGUUCCUGAGAGCAGAAUAUAGAAGAGCAUCACCCAGCAUCACUAAAUAUCAUUUAAUCAACUGAUUCCCUCCAGCACUGGUAAAGAAAGAAGGAUUUGCUUCUCAAAAUACUCUUUUGUCUCCGACUCUUUAGAAAGGAUUUUCUGCUUAUUGCCUUUGACUGAUCCAGACCAGCCCCAGCCUCAACUGGCCAAAAUAUCCCUGGGAACUAAAAAAUUUGUUGUGAAAUAGAGCUUGAAAGGUACUGGGAAUAUUAUAUCAAAACACUGUGUUUGGAUGCUGCUUAAUAAAUGUUUCAUUUCAGAAAUACCUACAUGUUCUGUCUGACAUCAAAAUAUAAAAUUCCUCUGAAAUGACACUAUUUAUGUAAACAAAAUCUAAAGCAGAAAGUGGUUUAAAUGUUUAAACAGUCCCAAAAUGAAGUCAAAAAUUCUCCUUUUAGUUUAAAUAAAGUAUUUGAGUUACACAAAAGAAUCCUUAAAAAUACCCUUUUUGGCUCAGCACCAGCUGAAUAUUUUUCCAUUCUUUUGGUUCAAUUGCCAUUCUGACACAACUAAUAUUCACCUCUCUCUCUUCCACAGCACAAAUUCAAAGCAGGAGUACCCUUAUUUU